CUCCCUGCGCCUCUUUCUCCUCGCCUCCCCUGCCCUGUUCAAUACGACACCUCCAUAGUCCAUAGAUCGCAUCUUCCUUCUGUUCUCCGCCUCUCCGCACUGCAGCUCGCACCUCGCCAGUGGCCUCGACCCCGGCGCGUACGCAAUGCUACCUGCACGUCGCCGGUAGCCUCGACCCGGUGCGCCCGCGCUGCCGCCAGCACAUCACCGGUGGCCUGGACCCCGGCGCGCCCGGGCUGCCGCCUCCACGUCGCCGGUCGCCUCGACCCCGGCACUAACCACCCUGCCGCCUGCACAUCGCUGGUUAGCCUCGACCCCGGUGCACCCGCGCUGCUGCCUGCACAUCACCGGUCGCCAACGCAACUCUGAUGCUGCUUGGAUAACUAUGUACUAAAACGGUAAUAUAUAUUAGGAGAUGGCUCCAAGUAAGUUAUGGACGAGACUAGUGGAUGAGCGAUUAAAUGAUGAAUACUUAGAAGGGGUAGAAAAUUUCCUUGACUACGCGUUCAGUCAUGCAGGCAGGGAGAAUGAAAUUCGAUGUCCAUGCAUCAAAUGCUGCAACACAUACUCUCAUCCUCGUGAUUGGUUUCUGCUCACCUGAAAGUGUAUGGAAUUCUGAGAAAUUAUUCCUUUUGGUACCAUUGGUGAAGUUGCGAGGACCCCCCAAACAGUUUCUGAAGGUGAAGGCGAUGAAGAAAUGCAAGCAGAGAGUGAUAAUGAAGCCGCUGAAGCUGAACCUGACAAUGUCUAUGAAGAAGACUUGCUUCAAAAUUCGACAACAACAUCACGUAGAAAGAGAACAACAUGAUGUCACUAGUUUAUGCAACUUUUAAUCUGUAGUAAUCGAUUUGCUUCAUAUUUUUGAUUUUACCUUAUUAAUAAACAGUGACACAAGUAGUUCUGUACUUUAUUUGAUUUAGCGUUCAAUAAUUCAUUUCAGUACAUCAACAUUCUCUUAUUUUAUUUAAUUGUACUUUGUAUAGCCUUUCUGCACACUUCAAACUAACGCUAUAUGCAUAGGGUAUCACAAUGAGUCAGCAACGGUAUGGAAACUUGACAACAUUAGCUCGGGAAAGAUGCCACUCACAGUUGAAUAAGUCUGGACUGGUACACCAAGGUAUUGCUAGGCGGACCAUGCAAGAGAAAUCAAGUCAAAUAGCAGAUUUCAGCAGGAAAAGGGUUUCUCACAGGCCUAAUUUGCAAGAUGAGGAACUAUGGAAAAAGUACGAGUUAGCUACAAAAGAUGGAAAUGAUGCGGCAACUAGUACACCAAUCUUGUUUACUGCAAAUUGGGAUGCGGAUGAUUCCGGAACUAUGAAUGAUGAAGUUGAUGCCAACAACGAUGGUGACAUGGGAAUGGUCCAAUAUUACUGACGCAGCUCAGAAACAUAUAUUUGAUGCAAUUAAGGACAAGUUCGAAAAUAUUGACGAGAACAUUGCAAUAGAUGUGUACAAAGAUGAGAUAUUAGACCAUGUCAAGAAACUUUGAAUCAACUGGCGUGGAGACUUGCACCGGCACUUUGUGAAACCCAACAAGACUAUGCAGGAGGCUAUGAAAAAGUUGACAAUAUGGUGCAAGAAGUAUCAGAAAUUAAGCGUCUUCUGUCUGGUAGAUCUCUAACUGAUAGUUCUCAUGAGGACUGAUGAUCCACCAGAAUAUAUAUAAGCAUAAGGAGGCAUUUUAAUUGCUAGUGAAGAAUGAUAUCCAUUCAAACUAGGAUGGUGUCCCUCUAUUGAAGACUAAUAAAUAAUUUAUUUUUUAGUUGUCUCGUUUUCCACAUAGAUAUGAUCAAGUACAUUCGUGAUAUAAGGAGUGCUUUUCACUAAAAUUUCUUACAAGAUAUUUUAAUUUCAGAAUUGUAUGUCAGAAUAUUGGUAUUUCUAUUAAUAAAAGAGGCUAUGAUCCUUUCGAUUCA